UUGCCAGGUGGGGCAUGUCAGCCUGGAAGCCCCCAUCACCGUCCAGUGGGAGCCCCGUUCCUCCAGCUCUGCCAAGAGCAAACUGUGGACAGGGAUCAUGGGGGCCGUGAUUGGAGCGGCCUUCCUGGCUGUGGGGCUCUUCUCCUACCUGAAGAGCAAGAAAGCCACUCCCAUCCAACCUCCUGCAGGUGAGUUUCUCCUCUUCCUCCCUCAUCUCAGCCUCUCCUACAAGUUAUAGGUGUUUUUUUAAAUAUUUUUUUUUAAAUAUCUCCUUUCUG
rnacentral:lncRNA from 1 species